CUCCCACAACACACACUCACACAGUCUCAACAUUUCUCUCUGUAUACCUCUGUAUGGAUGAGUAGAUUGAUGAUGUAACUGGCUCCCUGUAGCGGUCUGGGAAAGCCCUGUCCAGAUGAGUGGCAGUCUGUGACCUAAUAGAAGAGUUAUGGCCUACAGAGGAGUUGACAUGCUCAUCCAUCAUCUGCUGUUGCCGGCGGUAACUGGCUGUCGGGAAAGAGACUUUCUGAUGGAGCAGCCAAAGAUGGUGGAUAAAUGAAGAUAGUUCACUCCGGCUGUUUACCAUUGAAAAAAAAAAGUAAGUUCUGGUCUACUUAAGUGGGUGUGUCCCAUAGACACAAAUUCAAUAGCAGCUGGGUCUGAUCUACUUAGUUCAUUGACUUUCAUUGAACCAGAAAAAAAAAUGGAAAAAAUUGCGAGUGGGAUGUCUCGCUACCUCUUCCAUCUCUUAAGCAGCUAUGGUUGCGUUUAGACAGGCAGCCCAAUUCUGAUAUUUAUUUCACUAAUUGGU